AUGAUAGUGACAAUAAUUAGUUAUGUGCAGUGGUGAAAUGUAAAUGUGAAAUAAAAGUUGUGGUGGCGAGUUGGUGCUGUCAAGUGACGCGAUGGAGGACACUGGACUCGGCAGAAGGGAUGCCGAAUGUUUAAUAUGUUUUAGAUUUCUCAAGACAGUGUGUGAGUCGUGGAUAUAACACGUGUCUGUGCAGAAAUUUUAAUAAACCAGAAAAAUUAUUUAUUAUAGGAAUAUUUAAUGAUCAUUAGUGCGAAGCAGCAAACAGCAAACAUUAUAAGGAAAAUUUCUAAAUAUUUGCUCAUAUUUCUACAAAGGACAUGGCAUCAAUAACCAAUGAUCUGGAUAUUCU